UCUUAUGUACAUGCCUACGACAUUAAUGCACUUGAUCCCAUCAGAACUUUGUAGUUAAGUGCUCUUGGGCUAGAGUAGUACUGGGACGGGUGACCUCUCGGGAAUUCCUAGUGUUUUACUAA
rnacentral:rRNA from 1 species